CCUACGGGUGGCAGCAGUGGGGGAUAUUGCACAAUGGGGGGAACCCUGAUGCAGCGACGCCGCGUGGGUGAAGGAGUAUUUCGGUAUGUAAAGCCCUAUCGGCAGGGAAGAAAUUGGACUGUACCUACAAAGGAAGCACCGGCUAACUCCGUGCCAGCAGCCGCGGUAAUACGGGGGGUGCAAGCGUUGUCCGGAAUCAUUGGGGGUAAAGCGUUCUUAGGCGGCAAGGUAAGCAUGAUGUUAAAGCCCGGGGCUCAACUCCGGUUCGGCAUUGGAUACUAUCUAGCUAGAAUGUGGUAGAGGUAAAGGGAAUGCCUGGUGUAGCGGUGAAAUGCGUAGAUAUCAGGAGGAACAUCGGUGGCGAAAGCGCUUUACUGGACCAUUAUUGACGCUGAGGAACGAAAGCCAGGGGAGCAAAUGGGAUUAGAUACCCCAGUAGUC
rnacentral:rRNA from 1 species